AUUGAACGCUGGCGGCAGGCCUAAUACAUGCAAGUCGAACGGUAACAUAAAGAAGCUUGCUUCUUUUGAUGACGAGUGGCGGACGGGUGAGUAAUAUUUGGGAAACUACCUGAUAGAGGGGGACAACAGUUGGAAACGACUGCUAAUACCGCAUAAAGCCUGAGGGUGAAAGCAGCAAUGCGCUAUCAGAUGUGCCCAAACGGGAUUAGCUAGUAGGUGAGGUAAAGGCUCACCUAGGCGACGAUCUCUAGCUGGUCUGAGAGGAUGAUCAGCCACAUUGGGACUGAGACACGGCCCAGACUCCUACGGGAGGCAGCAGUAGGGAAUAUUGCACAAUGGAGGAAACUCUGAUGCAGCCAUGCCGCGUGUGUGAAGAAGGCCUUCGGGUUGUAAAGCACUUUCGGAGGGGAGGAAAAGAUGACGUUACCCUCAGAAGAAGCACCGGCUAACUCCGUG
rnacentral:rRNA from 1 species